UCCCUCUUAGCUCAGUGGUAGAGCGCGUCACUAGUAUCGAGAGAAACCAUAACUAUGACGAGGUCAGUCGUUCAAGUCGGCUAGAGGGAA